rnacentral:rRNA from 1 species
GAUUCUGGCUCAGGAUGAACGCUAGCUACAGGCUUAACACAUGCAAGUCGAGGGGCAGCAUUGGAGUAGCAAUACUUCAGAUGGCGACCGGCGCACGGGUGAGUAACACGUAUCCAACCUGCCGCUUACUCGGGGAUAGCCUUUCGAAAGAAAGAUUAAUACCCGAUGGUAUAAAGAGUUCGCAUGUUCUCUUUAUUAAAGAAUUUCGGUAAGCGAUGGGGAUGCGUUCCAUUAGAUUGUUGGCGGGGUAACGGCCCACCAAGUCUACGAUGGAUAGGGGUUCUGAGAGGAAGGUCCCCCACAUUGGAACUGAGACACGGUCCAAACUCCUACGGGAGGCAGCAGUGAGGAAUAUUGGUCAAUGGACGAGAGUCUGAACCAGCCAAGUAGCGUGAAGGAUGACUGCCCUAUGGGUUGUAAACUUCUUUUAUAAGGGAAUAAAGUGAGGGACGUGUCCCUUUUUGUAUGUACCUUAUGAAUAAGGAUCGGCUAACUCCGUGCCAGCCGCUGC